GUCUAGCAUGGUGGUACUAUACUAGUUCAGCAUAGUGGUACUAUACUAUUCUAGUAUAGUGGUACUAUAUUAGUCUGGCAUUGUGGUACCAUACUAGUAUAGCUCUAAGAGCUAAGAAAAAAUGUAUUUAACCUAGACUUAAAGGUGUUAACAGUGCAAGCAUUUUAAUAGUGGUACUAUAGUGGUCUGGCAUAUUGGUACUGUACUAUAUUAUUCUGGAAUAGUGGUACUAUAUUAGUUUGGCAUAGUUGUACCAUACUAGUCCAGCAUAGUGGUACUAUACUAGUUCAGCAUAGUGGUGCUAUAUUAGUCUAGCAUAGUGGUACUAUACUAGUCUAGCAUAGUGGUAAUAUACUAAUCUAGCAUAGUGGCACUAUACUAUUCUGGCAUAGUAGUACCAUACUGGUCUAGCAUAGUGGUACUAUACGAGUCUAGCAUAGUGGUGCUGUAUUUUUUUAGCAUAGUGGUACUAUAGUGGUCUGGCAUAGUGGUACUACUGUAUACUAUUCUGGCAUAGUAGUACGAUAUUGGUCUAGCAUAGUGGUACUAUACUAGUCUAGCAUAGUGGUACUAUACUAUUUUAGCAUAGCGGUACUAUAGUGGUCUGGCAUAGAGGUACUAUACUAUUCUUGCAUAGUAGUAUACUGAUCUAGCGUAGUACUUUCUUGAAUGUAAUAAAUAAAAUAUUCACCCAUUGAAAACAGCCAAACGAGUUGAUUCUACCUGUAGUAUGGUUCAAUCUGAGAGGGAGAAGCAAUGGAAGACUAGUGUUUUAAAGUAUUCAUCUGCUUGAAUAGAGGAUUGAAAAGAACUUAUUUAUAUAUGUGAUAUACUUAUGAAACACUUAACAAUCAAUAUACAUUAUAGGCCUUUCACAGUUGUUUUGCCUAAUUAUAUUGUGUCCAUCUGAUUUAAACAUCUGUGAAUAUAUAAAUAUAUUCUUCUUGUAGACGUUCAUUUAUUACUACAUGCCUCGACCGCAUCGCAAGUUACAAGGUUGAAUUGGAAGCAACUGCUGUUCUGAGGCAGGAAGUUCAAGCUAUGCUUGCAAGAUUCAAGCAGUUACAAGCCAAGUUGUAUAGACUAAGUAUUGUAAAUUAAAGAAUCUUUGUAAACCUAAAGCUUAUUCUGCUCUUGCGACUUCAACUCAGUUUGUUGGCAGUAAUGCCAUGUUGACUUAAACUCAGGAUCGUGCCACUACUCAGAACUAAAAGGAGCAGACCUACCAAGUCUUAUACAUUGGAAGGCUCUGUCAUUGCAGGCCUCUCAUUGGAGGCCUCACAUGGUCACGCGCUCAAGACCUCUCAUUGGAGGCCUCUUUCAUGGUCUCGUGCUCAAGACCUCUCAUUAGAGGCUUCUCACAUGGUCUCGUGCUCAAGACCAAACCUUAGUAGCUGUCUCACUAACAUGCACCAAAGUUCUUUCUCAAGUUUAUCUAAACAUUUAUGUUUUUCAUAUCAUGAUUGAACUAGCUGCACUGGAGCUGUGAAUAUGUUGUUGCUUCAACAAGCACUGUCCAAUAAGCUCAAAGCCUUCAUUGAUUGUCAUUCACUGAUGUACUUUCUGAUUUUUGUCAUUUGAUAUAUUUUAUUGUAUGUGUUGUUUGUUAUUUAAAUAAACAUAAAAAUAAAUUA